rnacentral:rRNA from 1 species
UACAGAGGGUGCGAGCGUUAAUCGGAUUUACUGGGCGUAAAGGGCGCGUAGGCGGUUUGAUGAGUGUGAUGUGAAAGCCCUGGGCUCAACCUAGGAAGUGCAUCGCAAACGAUUGAACUGGAGUAUAUGAGAGGGUGGUGGAAUUUCCGGUGUAGCAGUGAAAUGCGUAGAGAUCGGAAAGAACGUCGAUGGCGAAGGCAGCCACCUGGCAUAAUACUGACGCUGAGGCGCGAAAGCGUGGGGAUCAAACAGG